CCUACGGGUGACAGCAGUGAGGAAUAUUGGUCAAUGGGCGCGAGCCUGAACCAGCCAAGUAGCGUGAAGGAUGACUGCCCUACGGGUUGUAAACUUCUUUUAUGAAGGAAUAAAGUGAGGCACGUGUGCCUUUUAGAAUGUACUUUAUGAAUAAGGAAAGGCUAACUCAGUGACAGCAGACGCGGUAAUACGGAGGUUCCGAGCGUUAUCCGGAUUUAUUGGGUUUAAAGGGAGCGUAGAUGGGUUGUUAAGUCAGUUGUUAAAGUUUGCGGCUCAACCGUAAAAUUGCAAAUGAUACUGGCAGUCUUGAGUACUAUUGAGGUAGGCGGAAUUCGUUGUGUAGCGGUGAAAUGCUUAGAUAUCACGAAGAACUCCGAUUGCGAAGGCAGCUUACUAAGCUGCCACUGACAUUGAUGCUCGAAAGUGUGGGUAUCAAACAGGAUUAGAUACCCUAGUAGUC
rnacentral:rRNA from 1 species